GCCGGGGUGACCGAGUGGCCAGGUGACGGACUGCAGAUCCGUUAACGCCGGUUCGAAUCCGGCUCCCGGCU
rnacentral:tRNA from 2 species